GCGUUCAAAAAAUUGGUUUCGUAACUUAUGUCCAUCAACAAGAUCUAACAACUCAUUUUUAGAUGUGUAACUUAAAAUGUACGCCGUAGAGAAUUCAUUGUACUCUUAUUAUAUGCCAAUCACUUGUCACUUGUGUAUGUGGUUUAGGUCCAAAGUUUUGGAAACAUUAGUGGGGCCCAAAACAAUCUUGGUCUUGGAUUUCAAAACGUGAGCUUCCAUCAAACCCAAGUUAAGAAGAGUGACCAGUGACGAACUUGAUUUGUGCUAAAAUAAGGCCAGCAAUUUGGGGUACCUUUGGCCCAAACGUUGCAUGUCACCAGUUUUCCAUUAUUUUAUCCUAUUGAAAUUGAAUACAUACAAAUGUCGUCAAUCUUAUCCUUCACCUAAUUGCUAACGAGUCAUGACCUUCCGAUUACGCCAGCCAGCCUGCAGUUGAUGGUAACUGAUGAGAUUCUUGGAGUAGCUUCAAAGGGAACUCACAGUCACUGCAACACACGUAAGAGCAUACGGAAAAUAGGCUGCUUCAUCGAUCGGUCACCUCCUUUCUUUUUAAAGAAAGCAUAUGAUUCUCACUUUGAAUGGAGUUGGACUGUUAGCUAGGAUCAAUCAUGGUAAUAAUCCUCAGUUGUAAUAUUCAUCCACUCACACACAUAUAUGUGUGUACUUUACUCAAAAGGGAUCUCCCUUUUUUUUUCGGUAAAAGUGAAAACUAGUUGUGGUGCUCACAUUAUAUUGAACUUUAACGACCAAAAUCAUUUAUUUUUCAAGUUUCACUUUGUAGAUCAUUGUUGCAAAAUAUUAGCCAAAUUGAAAAUGUUUGAAGCAUUCAAUUGAGUUCAAAUAAAUUAACGAAUACUAUGUUCUAAUAAACAUUAAAAUGUUGUUGUGACAAUCAAAUGAGUAAAUGGUUUCGGAUUGAACUGAUUUUUUUGUAAAAAUGAUUUAUGAACAAAGACUUCAAAAAUACAUAGUCCGGAUAAUUGAAGUUUGAUGUAUGAUGGACAACACUAUUAGUUCCCAUUUUUACCAAGCUAGAGGGAUCCUUUUGGAUAAAGAGUCUAUGUAUAUAUGAUUGUAGCAUCAUCUAUUUGGUGGACUGUUGAUUACUACCACACAUGCACUGCAAACUUUUUUUGAAAUUGCAGGUCAUCUUAAAGGCUUUUGUUCAUGCGCACAAGUACAGGAUUGUAAGGAAUAAUGCUAUUUUUUUUUUCAAAUUGCAGGUCAUCUUAAAGGCUUUUGUUCACGUGCACAAGUAUGGGAUUGUAAGGAAUAAAGUUUUUUUUUUUUUUGACAAACGAUAUUAUUUACACUA
rnacentral:lncRNA from 1 species